rnacentral:rRNA from 1 species
AUCCCACCCAUGUUUUGCGCUGGUGAGUUUCCCCGUGUUGAGUCAAAUUAAGCCGCAGGCUCCACUCCUGGUGGUGCCCUUCCGUCAAUUCCUUUAAGUUUCAGCCUUGCGACCAUACUCCCCCCGGAACCCAAAGACUUUGAUUUCUCAUAAGGUGCUGAUCGGGCUUGAGAGACCCGACCAAUCCCUAGUCGGAAUAGUUUAUGGUUAAGACUAGGACGGUAUCUGAUCGUCUUUGAUCCCCUAACUUUCGUUCUUGAUUAAUGAAAACGCUCUUGUGAAAAGCGUUCGCUUUAGUUUGUCUUUAAUAAAUCCAAGAAUUUCACCUCUGACUAUUAAAUACAAAUCACCCCGGCCGUUCCUUUUAAUCAUUACUAUAGCCCAAUAACCAACAAAAUGGACCAUAGUCCUAUUCCAUUAUUCCAUGCUUGUGUAUUCAAGGCGAUUGCCUGCCUGGAACACUCUAAUUUUUUCAAAGUAAAGUGCCUGAUCCUCACACCGACCACUAAAGGCCGUAUAUGGUUCUCAGACGGAUGAACGCUUCUACCUCGACCGAAGCCGCUGUACAAACGCCCAGAAGUUCAACUACGAGCUUUUUAACUGCAACAACUUUAAUAUACGCUAUUGGAGCUGGAAUUACCGCGGCUGCUGGCACCAGACUUGCCCUCCAAUUGUUCCUUGCUAAGAGAUUUAAAUUGUGCUCAUUGCAAUCCCAAAGUCCGUAAGGACCCGGGUUGUUAUUUCUUGUCACUACCUCCCUGAAUUAGGAUUGGGUAAUUUACGCGCCUGCUGCCUUCCUUAGAUGUGGUAGCCGUUUCUCAGGCUCCCUCUCCGGAAUCGAACCCUAAUUCCCCGUUACCCGUGACUGCCAUGGUAGUCCAAUACACUACCAUCGAAAGCUGAUAGGGCAGAAACUUGAAUGAUUUAGCGCAACGUAGUCGCGCUCCGAUCAGUUACUAUGAAUCAUCACAAUAGACCCGAAGGAAUAUUGGUUUGUUAUCUAAUAAAUACAACCCUUCCGAAAAGUUGGGUUUUGCCGCAUGUAUUAGCCCUAGAAUUACCACGGUUAUCCAUGUAGAAUUCAAUUAUCAAGUAAACUAUAACUG